rnacentral:misc_RNA from 1 species
UCUCCGUAGGUGAACCUGCGGAGGGAUCAUUACAGGGUUCGUGCCCUCACGGGUAGAUCUCCCACCCUGUGUUAUUAUACCUUUGUUGCUUUGGCGGGCCGCCCUCGGCUACCGGCCCCGGCUGGUACGCGCCCGCCAGAGGACCCCAAACUCUGAAUGUUAGUGUCGUCUGAGUACUAUACAAUAGUUAAAACUUUCAACAACGGAUCUCUUGGUUCUG